rnacentral:rRNA from 1 species
UUUGAUCCUGGCUCAGGAUGAACGCUGGCGGCGUGCCUAAUACAUGCAAGUCGAGCGAACAGAUAAGGAGCUUGCUCCUUUGACGUUAGCGGCGGACGGGUGAGUAACACGUGGGUAACCUACCUAUAAGACUGGAAUAACUCCGGGAAACCGGGGCUAAUGCCGGAUAACAUGUUGAACCGCAUGGUUCUACAGUGAAAGACGGUCUUGCUGUCACUUAUAGAUGGACCCGCGCCGUAUUAGCUAGUUGGUGGGGUAACGGCCUACCAAGGCGACGAUACGUAGCCGACCUGAGAGGGUGAUCGGCCACACUGGAACUGAGACACGGUCCAGACUCCUACGGGAGGCAGCAGUAGGGAAUCUUCCGCAAUGGGCGAAAGCCUGACGGAGCAACGCCGCGUGAGUGAUGAAGGUCUUCGGAUCGUAAAGCUCUGUUGUUAGGGAAGAACAAAUGUGUAAGUAACUGUGCACAUCUUGACGGUACCUAACCAGAAAGCCACGGCUAACUACGUG